rnacentral:rRNA from 1 species
GCCAGCAGCUGUAGCACGUUGAAUGCACCCAGUUCCCCAUAGGUCAUUAAAGUUCAGCAACCUAGUGCGUGGUUAGUAUACGGAUGGGUGACCGUCUGAACAAUCCCGUGCUGCUGGCU